rnacentral:misc_RNA from 1 species
GUUUUUUGCCUUCAAUGAUCGUGUAAAAUUUUGGUCUUUGAUGAUCCUUCCUUUGUCCAAAUCCAUUUUCUAGGGUUUCUAUGUUUAAUGCCUUGACUAUUGAUGAACUAUUGGAUUUCAUAUGUUAAAUUAUUUCUCAUUUUCUUUGUAGAACAUUUUUUUUGGGGGGAGGUCUAAGCCUAGGCCAUGUCUCAAACUUAUUUACAGUGAGAUUGGAUUUUUGGCAUUUGGUUGCAUGCCCUUGGAACUGUUAGCCGCUACCAUGGCGGAUUUGAUAAAAUUUUGUUGCAGUUUGGUUUUCACUUAUAAUGUCACAAAGGCCCUCCAUCUAUUGCACUUUAAACUGUUCUAAAAGGGGAAAUUGAAGGUUGAGAAUGUCUUAAGCGUUUUCACUUAAAAUGUUAUGAUGCUUUGCAAAAGUUUAGUGUCCGUUCACUUGUGAAAGGCUGUGUAGUUUUCUGUAAAAAAAUUGUACGAGUUUUUAAACGUAGAGUUGGAG